rnacentral:snRNA from 1 species
AGGUAGAAGGGCAAUCUGGAUGUUACAUGUCUCUCCAUUUAAUCACCAGAGUUGAUUCAGUUGAAUUGGCUGGCUAGACAAGUGUCUCCUCCCACCCUACCACUUGUAUGUGCCUGGUGAAGAAGGUCAUGUUCCCAAUAGAAGAGGGCUGCUCUCAAACAUUUAUGAGUAGCUGCAUUCCCUGCUUGGACCUCCAAAUAAUGGCUGAGAUAAUUAUUCUGUGCUUUCUUCUCAAAGUGUUUUGUUUUACUUUACAUGUUUUGGAUCUAUUAUCUAUUGGAAAUUUAUGUUUGAGU